rnacentral:rRNA from 1 species
UGGGGAAUAUUGCACAAUGGGCGCAAGCCUGAUGCAGCCAUGCCGCGUGUAUGACGAAGGCCUUCGGGUUGUAAAGUACUUUCAGCGGGGAGGAAGGGAGUAAAGUUAAUACCUUUGCUCAUUGACGUUACCCGCAGAAGAAGCACCGGCUAACUCCGUGCCAGCAGCCGCGGUAAUACGGAGGGUGCAAGCGUUAAUCGGAAUUACUGGGCGUAAAGCGCACGCAGGCGGUUUGUUAAGUCAGAUGUGAAAUCCCCGGGCUCAACCUGGGAACUGCAUCUGAUACUGGCAAGCUUGAGUCUCGUAGAGGGGGGUAGAAUUCCAGGUGUAGCGGUGAAAUGCGUAGAGAUCUGGAGGAAUACCGGUGGCGAAGGCGGCCCCCUGGACGAAGACUGACGCUCAGGUGCGAAAGCGUGGGGAGCAAACA